UGACCAAUCACAACAGAUGGACCGGUAUGAGAAAAGUAAAGUGUUUUUUGAACAUUAAAGCAAGUAAACGUGUUCCAGUAGAAAUCCAGAAUACAAGUAUGAACCUGAAAAUAAGCAUAAUAGGACCUCUUUAAUGGGAGAUUUU